UGGGGAAUAUUGCACAAUGGGCGCAAGCCUGAUGCAGCCAUGCCGCGUGUAUGAAGAAGGCCUUCGGGUUGUAAAGUACUUUCAGCGGGGAGGAAGGGAGUAAAGUUAAUACCUUUGCUCAUUGACGUUACCCUCAGAAGAAGCACCGGCUAACUCCGUGCCAGCAGCCGCGGUAAUACGGAGGGUGCAAGCGUUAAUCGGAAUUACUGGGCGUAAAGCGCACGCAGGCGGUCUGUCAAGUCGGAUGUGAAAUCCCCGGGCUCAACCUGGGAACUGCAUUCGAAACUGGCAGGCUAGAGUCUUGUAGAGGGGGGUAGAAUUCCAGGUGUAGCGGUGAAAUGCGUAGAGAUCUGGAAGAAUACCGGUGGCGAAGGCGGCCCCCUGGACAAAGACUGACGCUCAGGUGCGAAAGCGUGGGGAGCAAACAGG
rnacentral:rRNA from 1 species